rnacentral:rRNA from 1 species
UACGUAGGGGGCGAGCGUUGUCCGGCAUUACUGGGCGUAAAGGGCUCGUAGGCGGCCAACUAAGUCAGACGUGAAAUCCCUCGGCUUAACCGGGGAACUGCGUCUGAUACUGGAUGGCUUGAGAUUGGGAGAGGGAUGCGGAAUUCCAGGUGUAGCGGUGAAAUGCGUAGAUAUCUGGAGGAACACCGGUGGCGAAGGCGGCAUCCUGGACCAACACUGACGCUGAGGAGCGAAAGCCAGGGGAGCAAACGGG